rnacentral:rRNA from 1 species
AUUGAACGCUGGCGGCAGGCCUAACACAUGCAAGUCGAGCGGAUGAAGGGAGCUUGCUCCUGGAUUCAGCGGCGGACGGGUGAGUAAUGCCUAGGAAUCUGCCUGGUAGUGGGGGAUAACGUCCGGAAACGGGCGCUAAUACCGCAUACGUCCUGAGGGAGAAAGUUGGGGAUCUUCGGACCGCACGCUAUCAGAUGAGCCUAGGUCGGAUUAGCUAGUUGGUGGGGUAAAGGCCUACCAAGGCGACGAUCCGUAACUGGUCUGAGAGGAUGAUCAGUCACACUGGAGCUGAGACACGGUCAAGACGCCUACGGGAGGCAGCAGUGGGGAAUAUUGGACACUGGGCGAAAGCAUGAUCCAGCCAUGCCGCGUGUGUGAAGAAGGUCUUCGGAUUGUAAAGCACUUUAAGUUGGGAGGAAGGGCAGUAAGUUAAUACCUUGCUGUUUUGACGGUACCAACAGAAGAAGCACCGGCUAACUACGUG